GACGAACGCUGGCGGCGUGCUUAACACAUGCAAGUCGAACGGAAAGGCCCUGCUUUUGUGGGGUGCUCGAGUGGCGAACGGGUGAGUAACACGUGAGUAACCUGCCCUUGACGUUGGGAUAACUUCAGGAAACUGGGGCUAAUAACGGAUAUGAGCUCCUGCUGCAUGGUGAGGGUUGGAUAGUUCCGGCGGUUGGGGAUGGACUCGCGGCUUAUUAGCUUGUUGGUGGGGUAGUGGCUUACCAAGGCUUUGACGGCUAGCCGGCCUGAGGGGGUGACCGGCCACAUUGGGACGGGGAUACGGCCCAGACUCCAACGGGAGGCAGCAGUGGGGAAUAUUGCACAAUGGGCGGAAGCCUGAUGCAGCAACGCCGCGUGCGGGAUAACGGCCUUCGGGUUGUAAACCGCUUUCGCCUGUGACGAGGCGUGAGUGACGGUAAUGGGUGAAGAAGCACCGGCUAACUACGUG
rnacentral:rRNA from 1 species